AUUAAACGCUGGCGGCAUGCCUUACACAUGCAAGUCGAACGGCAGCACGGGGGCAACCCUGGUGGCGAGUGGCGAACGGGUGAGUAAAGCAUCGGAACGUGCCCUGGAGUGGGGGAUAACGUAGCGAAAGUUACGCUAAUACCGCAUAUUCUGUGAGCAGGAAAGCAGGGGAUCGCAAGACCUUGCGCUCUGGGAGCGGCCGAUGUCGGAUUAGCUAGUUGGUGGGGUAAAGGCCUACCAAGGCGACGAUCCGUAGCGGGUCUGAGAGGAUGAUCCGCCACACUGGGACCUGAGACACGGCCCAGACU
rnacentral:rRNA from 1 species